GGAAAGCAAGAGACUAACCAAGCCCAAGCGUUCUCUUUUGAAGACGGAAGACACGCCUGGUCUGUUCAAGGCCUCCCUGAGGGAAACAACUGAAAAACUGAUGAAAUAUAUGGAACAUCUGUUUUUGAGACAAUGGACAUUAGUCAACGAAGGACAGUGAAUCCUGAGACAUGGAAAACAAAUGAUGAUGAGAUUUCAGUGAUUUUGAAGUCCAGAGUCUUGGAAAGAGAAGAGGAAAUGUUCGUAGCCUGGUGGACAAAGGAAUUUGAUAGAAAAUACUGUAGAUAAUUGUAGAAUUCAGGACUAGAAAGCCCAGCAUGCAAAGCUCUUUCCAAUUUCAUCAUCUUAUCCCACCAUCACAACCCUGGGAGAUCAUUUAGGACUCUGAGCCCCAGAAUGUUCUGCUUCUCUGGAAUGCAGUCUGAUGUGAUUGUGAAUCAAAAGGAUACCUCACUGCCCGGUACUAUAAGGUGCCACCCAGCCAUCCAUGCUGGAAUUUGACUCAACAGCAAGUUGCCAGGGAAACAGCCAGAUUAGAUCCCGUGACAUUGCUUUGUUCCAUUCCCACUCUCACUUCUAGACCACAUCACCCGGAAGGAGACAAAACCCUGGAUCUGGAAUAAUUUGGGAUACUGGGCAGUAUUUAACCAGACGGUGAAAGAGAGGGGCUAGCUGCCAGUCUGACUGUCUUGGUGGAGCCAAUACUGCAGUAAUCAUAUGAUAGUCUUGUGUAUAUCAAAAGAAUAUUUGAUUUCCUGAGGGCAGUGGAGAGCAUGAGAAAGAAAAAUAUGCC